UCUUCGAUGGUCUAACGGUAUGAUAUCCGCUUGUCAUUGACUCGUCAAGUCCGCGGGUGACCGGGGUUCGACUCCCCGUCGAAGAG